rnacentral:rRNA from 1 species
GAUGAACGCUGGCGGCGUGCCUAAUACAUGCAAGUCGAGCGAACAGACGAGGAGCUUGCUCCUCUGACGUUAGCGGCGGACGGGUGAGUAACACGUGGAUAACCUACCUAUAAGACUGGGAUAACUUCGGGAAACCGGAGCUAAUACCGGAUAAUAUAUUGAACCGCAUGGUUCAAUAGUGAAAGACGGUUUUGCUGUCCCUUAUAGAUGGAUCCGCGCCGCAUUAGCUAUUUGGUAAGGUAACGGCUUACCAAGGCAACGAUGCGUAGCCGACCUGAGAGGGUGAUCGGACACACUGGAACUGAGACACGGUCCAGACUCCUACGGGAGGCAGCAGUAGGGAAUCUUCCGCAAUGGGCGAAAGCCUGACGGAGCAACGCCGCGUGAGUGAUGAAGGUCUUCGGAUCGUAAAACUCUGUUAUUAGGGAAGAACAAAUGUGUAAGUAACUAUGCACGUCUUGACGGUACCUAAUCAGAAAGCCACGGCUAACUACGUG